GACCUGAUAGUGGAGUUGCUACCACAUCUGCUUCUGUUGACUGGGAAUUGAAAAUACUAUAAACAGGAGGCCCCUGUUCAAUCCAGGGUCAGGUCA